rnacentral:rRNA from 1 species
UAACACUGGGUAACCUGCCUUAUAGUGGGGGAUAGCCUUUCGAAAGGAAGAUUAAUACCGCAUAAGAUUGUAGUAUCGCAUGAUAUAGCAAUUAAAGGAGCAAUUCGCUAUAAGAUGGACCCGCGUCGCAUUAGCUAGUUGGUGAGGUAAUGGCUCACCAAGGCGACGAUGCGUAGCCGACCUGAGAGGGUGAUCGGCCACAUUGGGACUGAGACACGGCCCAGACUCCUACGGGAGGCAGCAUG